AGGCGCUAGAUCCUGAGGGGUAUCAUUCGUUGUGUUCGUACGCCUCGGCGGCGGUGGCUAUGAAUGUAGUGCCCUGGUCAGCGCAUGAAGACAUCGAUUGUUCUCAGUCGUCGGUUUCGCGCUGUCGUGGGUUGACGUGUGUGUGUGUUGUGCUUCUUGUUUCAUGCUAAUUACCACAUGGAGGUGGAACCCCUGUAGCUGACCAAAAAGGCCAGGACUGUCAGAUGCCAUAUAUGAAUUGGGUAUGGGAUAGAGAGAAAUAUUGAGAUUCUAUUGGAGAAUUUGCAUACCCCUGCUUAUGCUACUCCUCACUAGGCCAACCAAAGCAGGCACCCAAUUGUUCUCGUGCUGAGCUGACGGAUUCGUAACCGUCAUUCUUUACUUAUAAUUCUCAGUAAUUGCACACUACUCACAAUUAUGUUUUACUUUCAGUUCAAGUUCUUCAAACAGAGCUGACCCAACAGAAGGCCUCUGGUGGCACACUGUAAUCAAGUGCGCCACUCCCACAGGAUUAUUGCAUUGGCCUUUUGCAUUCAUGCCUGAAUGCUGUCCAGGGCAUCCCACAGGCACCAGCUGCGUGACGAUGCCCCACCCCACAGAUUGUCUUAUGCCAACAGCGUGCUCCCGUAGGGAACUAUAGACACUAGAAGAUGGACUGUGGACAUGCUAAGGAAUUCUUCAGUAGCUUCAUGGUGCACUGGACGAAGUAAACAAACGGCCCUUAUCAGGGCCACCAUAUGUCUGCCACAAUGGCUAGCGUUCUGCUGGUAGAAGAAACCCUGACGGUGAUAGAAGAUCACUGAACUAACCAUAAUUCAAGCAUGAUGGCUACAACAGUGCUGAUAGAAAACAAUCAUUGCAGUUGCAAAUGCCAUACAUUUCACUAAGCACUGUAUUUUUGAUGACAGUAAUAUUUAGAGUUGAAGGAGUCAUGUUCUGCCAGUUUUUGGAUGGUCAAAGUAUGCAUCACAGAACAUAUUGCUAAAGUGAACAGUAUGUGGAACCGACUAUAACUCCUGUUAUUCAUUCGCACAGAAAAUAUGAAGCAGAAAAUGUCGAGGUUGUUGUGAGAGACCUGUACUAUGUCUGUUCUAUGUCUUUUGCAAAAGCUAUCACCGUUUCUCAACAAAAGUGAGGUGGAGAAUGUACUGGACGCCUCCAUUUUUCCCCUUUCUCUCCGUACUGUAAAGGUAGUUCUUUUUGUGUAGUCCAAUAAUACGAGAAUUUGAAAAAAGGUCUUUGGGUGUACUUGACAUAAUUGUGUGCCAGUCUAUAUCAUUGAACCCCCGUGGCACUGAGGACAAAACUUUACCUAGACAGUAUAUUUGGGUCCUAAGAACGCCAUUGGAGCCACAGGGCAUAUUGACUUUACACCACAUCAUGCAGGGCCACAAGGAAAAGAAACGAUUGUAGUUACCAUAAAACUUUGGUAUAUCAUACAUAACAUUGUACACAAAAACAGGACCGACAUAGUUAUUGUGGAGCCGGAUAGUGGAUAACACCAAAAAUUAAUGGGCUUACUAGGCUAACGCCAAUAAAUGGGCGGCCUUCCAAAUAGAGUGCUGAAGGUAUGAAAAACUAUUCGACCUUCACAAAGGCUUAGGAGAAUGUUCAGUAGCACUCCAAAUUAUCCAUUUACUUACUGUAUUGCUGCCUUAGCUCACAGUUGGAAAAAUAAGUAUAGAAAAUCAAAGAGAAAGAGCUAGCUGGCAUAUUCACAGUGGGUUAUGGCUGCGGGUUUGCUAUGUUGUGUUUAAUGAGAAGUGCAGAAAUUUGGGCUAGUUGGUACACAACUGCGAAAGGGAGAGUAUACAGACGGGACAAUGGAGGGACAGAGCUGCUUACAACUAAACUAUAAUGAUAAGAAACCCGACGCAGUCAUGUGCGCAGGUGCACUGCUAUCCCACCAUGUCAAAACAACGAGUACAGUGCUAGACAAAUGUUAGAGAACACGCUCCGGCGCAUUCCUUCCUCAGAGUGACAGCAAAUGGGACCGUACAGACUUAGACAUGUGCGUAUAGGUAGCCCAGUCACCUGUAUGCAAGUCCGUACGAUACCAUUCGCUGCCAGCUUGUCACUCGGAGGGAGGAGUGUGCCAGAGCAUGUUCCAUAAACUUUUGUCCAGCACUUUACAAGUAUAAAACUGAUUAACAAUGUAGAGUGGACUAGUUGGUAUGACAUCUUAGACUAUGGAGCUACAGCAGACAAGGACAAUACACCACUCCAUAAUCCACUGGUUUAUUUCUGGAAAAGGAAGGUUGAGCGUUGGGAUUGGGGGUUUUGAGACGAACUGAUUAGAAAGGAACUUUACACCUAGUGGUGAUCUUUUCCUGCUGUCCUUGUCCGCCAUAGCUCCGUAGUCGAAGUCUGUACAAGUAUGUCAGACAAGACCCUCAAAAUGACAUUUUUAGGCAUGUGCAAACAAAACCACCGUAAUGAUAAGGGGUGACACAAGUGAAAAAAAUGCCUAUGAUUUGAAUAAAAAUUCAAGUUUCUUAUCCACCAGACAAAUAGAAGCUUCAGUAGUACAA